ACCUGAGCAAAGAAGCGUGCGGUGGCCCGGCGUCGGGGCUUCGAUAGCCCAGCGUCUGUUUGACCCAAAUCCUGCAGCUCCGAAUCCCCAGGCGGUCGGAGAUUCCCACAAAGAGCCCCACCGGCAGAAAACACGCUUCCCAGCAACAGGAUAGAGCGCCCUAACCGAGAGCCUCUCCCUAACGGGAUCACGCUCUGCCCGAGAGAAACGUGCCAGGCCCACCUCCUGAGACACAGACCUCACCUCAGAGAGCUACGUAUCCUAACACCAACACCCAGGUACACCCUCGGCAGGGAUCCCGGUACACGCACACCCUACCGGGUGUUCUCACAACUCCAGGUCGGGCGAUGGACACCCCCAGAAACAGAUAUAUUCAGAGCCACACAGACCAUGCCACAAAUAAUACUCAUGCUGCAGAGGAUGCCAGAUUUGCGUUAGGCGCUGGGGUACAAGCAUCAUGUGUACAAGCAGGAAGGCAGCAAACAUUUAUGAACUGUGUGAUACUCCAAACAUUGGGUUAGGCACUGGGGAGAAAGCAAUAAAACACCGUCUCUUAC
rnacentral:lncRNA from 1 species